CCGUACACAAAAGCGCAUGUGCUGUGAGCUCGAUGAGUAGGGCGGGACACGUGGUAUCCUGUCUGAAUAUGGGGGGACCAUCCUCCAAGGCUAAAUACUCCUGACUGACCGAUAGUGAACCAGUACCGUGAGGGAAAGGCGAAAAGAACCCCGGCGAGGGGAGUGAAAAAGAACCUGAAACCGUGUACGUACAAGCAGUGGGAGCACAGGUUUACCUGUGUGACUGCGUACCUUUUGUAUAAUGGGUCAGCGACUUAUAUUCUGUAGCAAGGUUAACCGAAUAGGGGAGCCGGAGGGAAACCGAGUCUUAAUUGGGCGUUAAGUUGCAGGGUAUAGACCCGAAACCCGGUGAUCUAGCCAUGGGCAGGUUGAAGGUUGGGUAACACUAACUGGAGGACCGAACCGACUAAUGUUGAAAAAUUAGCGGAUGACCUGUGGCUGGGGGUGAAAGGCCAAUCAAACCGGGAGAUAGCUGGUUCUCCCCGAAAGCUAUUUAGGUAGCGCCUCGUGAAUUCAUCUCCGGGGGUAGAGCACUGUUUCGGCUAGGGGGCCAUCCCGGCUUACCAACCCGAUGCAAACUGCGAAUACCGGAGAAUGUUAUCACGGGAGACACACGGCGGGUGCUAACGUCCGUCGUGAAGAGGGAAACAACCCAGACCGCCAGCUAAGGUCCCAAAGUCAUGGUUAAGUGGGAAACGAUGUGGGAAGGCCCAGACAGCCAGGAUGUUGGCUUAGAAGCAGCCAUCAUUUAAAGAAAGCGUAAUAGCUCACUGGUCGAGUCGGCCUGCGCGGAAGAUGUAACGGGGCUAAACCAUGCACCGAAGCUGCGGCAGCGAACGUAUCACCCAAGACAACUUUACGGAGUUGACGAUUGACGGAGCGAAGCGACGUCAAAGCGUUCAUUAAAGUCGAGUUGGCUUAGGGAUACGUUCGUUGGGUAGGGGAGCGUUCUGUAAGCCUGUGAAGGUGUGUCGUGAGGCAUGCUGGAGGUAUCAGAAGUGCGAAUGCUGACAUAAGUAACGAUAAAGCGGGUGAAAAGCCCGCUCGCCGGAAGACCAAGGGUUCCUGUCCAACGUUAAUCGGGGCAGGGUGAGUCGACCCCUAAGGCGAGGCCGAAAGGCGUAGUCGAUGGGAAACGGGUUAAUAUUCCCGUACUUGGUGUUACUGCGAAGGGGGGACGGAGAAGGCUAUGUUGGCCGGGCGACGGUUGUCCCGGUUUAAGCGUGUAGGUGUGUGUUCCAGGUAAAUCCGGUUCACUUUAACACUGAGGCGUGACGACGAGGCACUACGGUGCUGAAGCAACAAAUGCCCUGCUUCCAGGAAAAGCCUCUAAGCAUCAGGUAACACGAAAUCGUACCCCAAACCGACACAGGUGGUCAGGUAGAGAAUACCAAGGCGCUUGAGAGAACUCGGGUGAAGGAACUAGGCAAAAUGGUGCCGUAACUUCGGGAGAAGGCACGCUGACACGUAGGUGAAGUGAUUUACUCAUGGAGCUGAAGUCAGUCGAAGAUACCAGCUGGCUGCAACUGUUUAUUAAAAACACAGCACUGUGCAAACACGAAAGUGGACGUAUACGGUGUGACGCCUGCCCGGUGCCGGAAGGUUAAUUGAUGGGGUCAGCGCAAGCGAAGCUCCUGAUCGAAGCCCCGGUAAACGGCGGCCGUAACUAUAACGGUCCUAAGGUAGCGAAAUUCCUUGUCGGGUAAGUUCCGACCUGCACGAAUGGCGUAAUGAUGGCCAGGCUGUCUCCACCCGAGACUCAGUGAAAUUGAACUCGCUGUGAAGAUGCAGUGUACCCGCGGCAAGACGGAAAGACCCCGUGAACCUUUACUAUAGCUUGACACUGAACAUUGAGCCUUGAUGUGUAGGAUAGGUGGGAGGCUUUGAAGUGUGGACGCCAGUCUGCAUGGAGCCGACCUUGAAAUACCACCCUUUAAUGUUUGAUGUUCUAACGUGGACCCGUAAUCCGGGUUGCGGACAGUGUCUGGUGGGUAGUUUGACUGGGGCGGUCUCCUCCUAAAGAGUAACGGAGGAGCACGAAGGUUGGCUAAUCCUGGUCGGACAUCAGGAGGUUAGUGCAAUGGCAUAAGCCAGCUUGACUGCGAGCGUGACGGCGCGAGCAGGUGCGAAAGCAGGUCAUAGUGAUCCGGUGGUUCUGAAUGGAAGGGCCAUCGCUCAACGGAUAAAAGGUACUCCGGGGAUAACAGGCUGAUACCGCCCAAGAGUUCAUAUCGACGGCGGUGUUUGGCACCUCGAUGUCGGCUCAUCACAUCCUGGGGCUGAAGUAGGUCCCAAGGGUAUGGCUGUUCGCCAUUUAAAGUGGUACGCGAGCUGGGUUUAGAACGUCGUGAGACAGUUCGGUCCCUAUCUGCCGUGGGCGCUGGAGAACUGAGGGGGGCUGCUCCUAGUACGAGAGGACCGGAGUGGACGCAUCACUGGUGUUCGGGUUGUCAUGCCAAUGGCACUGCCCGGUAGCUAAAUGCGGAAGAGAUAAGUGCUGAAAGCAUCUAAGCACGAAACUUGCCCCGA
rnacentral:rRNA from 1 species